UACGUAGGGGGCUAGCGUUGUCCGGAAUCAUUGGGCGUAAAGCGCGUGUAGGCGGCCCGGUAAGUCCGCUGUGAAAGUCGGGGGCUCAACCCUCGGAUGCCGGUGGAUACUGUCGGGCUCGAGUACGGAAGAGGCGAGUGGAAUUCCUGGUGUAGCGGUGAAAUGCGUAGAUAUCCGGAGGAACACCGGUGGCGAAGGCAGCUUACUAGGCUGUAACUGACGCUGAGGCACGAAAGUGUGGGGAUCAAACAGG
rnacentral:rRNA from 1 species